UCCUAACGUGUUUCCGCUGUUUACUUCUAGCAGUUUCAUAGGUUCAGGGUUGAGUGGACUCAGGAGGAUGCUGUCCAGUCCGGGAUGUGGAGAGGCAGGGGCUGUGGGGCCCCGGGGCCAGAUGCAGUGAUGCGGACCCCCACCGCCAGAUGGCACUGUGCUGGGGGUGGAGAGGAACAAAGCCGGUUCCCUCUGGAACGAGGCUGGCAUCUCCCUGCCCUGGGCUCGGAGACUGUGAGGGCCAAGAGGCACUCCUGCAGCCAACUUGUAGAUGUCCCUGGUGGGAGCGUGGACUGCAGGGGACCUCUCACUUACCUUUCCCCACAAUGGGUAGUCCUUGUUGCCCCGAGUCAGUCCCGUCCCGUUGUUUUGCUUCCCGCUCUCGGCCGCCACCUUGAGUCUCCACGCCUCGGCACCUCAGCGCUCUCCUGGCGCCUCAGCCCGCUCUCCUGGCGCCUCAGCCCGCUCUCCUGGCGCCUCAGCCCUCCCUCCUCGCUGAACGCCAACAGUGCUCUUCCUCAGAUGCUCGAUUUGACUGGUGUGAGGUACAAAACGGUCACGAAAGUGAAAUCAUGA
rnacentral:lncRNA from 1 species